GGCAAAGUCGGAUUCGAACCACCGACCUUCCGACCGUAAAUUCGCGCUCUAACCACUGAGCUCUCUCUCGC
rnacentral:tRNA from 11 species